AUUUUGAAUUUUUUUUUUGAUUUUGAUUCUAAUUGCGAAUCAGAUAUUUUUUAGAUCUAUUAUCAGAUUUAUAUUAAAAUAAAUAAAAACUAUCCUUAAAAAUACCCAAAUAAGAAAUACCCAUCCCCUGUUCCAUCCACAGAAAUUUACAUAACAUAUGCAAGGGCCCAUUUAGACAAAUCAUCAACAAGAUGAACUCUGAGCGAAUAAUUUUUAAAAAUCCAUCAUAUAAAACCCAUACAAAUAUAGGUUAUCAACGUAUGAAAUAAAUGCAUCGAUACAACAUUGAGUGAAUGCGGUAGAAAACCUCUAGAUACAAAAACAAACCAACGUCCCUGGUAAAAUAAUAACAACAAUAUAUCAAAUGAUUCAGCAGCAUUGUUUAUGACAUUUUGAAGGUAUAAUCUCUUGUAUUUCGCAGAAAUCAAUCAUGCCACAGAAUGUUACCACAAAUGAUGGUUUAAAAGGUAACUUGUCAAUGAUCAAUGCAGUAGAAAACCCCUUAACCAAAAGCGAGAUCCUGCUUAAGCAUAGAUGUUUGAAUGACAUAGUUUAAAUCUAAUCAGUGGCGACGAUGUCGACCUGCGGGUUCUCCUCAUCCCUCUCCUUUUGGAUGAGUUGCGUAGCCUUCGGUCCAUGAUGCGAUCUGUGAGGAGAUGGAAGGAGGGAAUGGAGAUGGAGAAGGUAUUACCUUCCUCCGCUUCUGGUGAGUCGAUCCUGAGGAGAUGGAAGGGUUUCGAACGCGGAAGAACGGGAAGGGAGAAAGAGUGAGUGAGUGCUCAUGGUACCGGCGCGGGUUUUAUACGAGGCUUAGGUCGGCGCAACCGGGGGGGCAAAAUGGGAAAAAUAUUUUCAUCCUGGGUUGAACGCAGUGUGGUCGGUUUUGGCGUUCGUUCGCGGCUUAACGUCAAUGCGCUCCUCCCAACGGCAACGGUUGCAUGGUGAACGUCUAAUAUAAACUAUAAAGUGACGAGACUAUUUACAAAUUGUAGACUAUUAAGUUAUGGGACACCCUAGCAUCGGUUCACUGGUAAUCCCUCCCACCUCUAAACCAAAAGUCAAGGAUUUCAGCCUGAAGUGGUGUUGUCUCUAAGGAUUUCAGCCUUUGAGCUUUUGGUUUCUUUUGCAUUCUGCUCCUUUAUCAAAAAGAAGAAUAGUUUCUCUUAGUGUUUCCUUUUAUUGCAACUCUUUUUCCUGCUACGUCACAGAAAGUUUUAGCUGGAGCAUGAGGAUGGAGCUAGCUCUUCGAUUGGCGCGUGUGCUUACGUUUCUUCACUCUCAAAAGCAGCCUCUUACUCUUUUACCUCGAAGCCUCGCAGCACUUUGGUUGACGUGGCUCGACUUCAAUCUGUUAAUAUUUUGGUUUCAGUCUGGCCUCUCGUGGAGUUUUUGGUAUGCUUGAUGACGCAGUUGUGAAACUCAUACUUCCAAACCAUCCUCAGUUGUUUUUAGGAUCCAGAGGUCGUUUUGUCUGGUAAAAGAAGUACAGUGAGCUUGAAAUGGAUUGCUGAAUCUGGAAAGGACCGUGAUAACAAAUUAACACUAUUGUCCUCAGAGCAGCAGCUGCCUCGUAUAACAGAUCACAUAAAUGUUACAGGUUUGUCUAGAUAUUCCACUCGAGUUAUUAUGCAGUCUGUCAGCCUUCAAUGAAGCUGCAAGAGAACAACAGAAAGCCAUAACAGCUAUACAUCAUCUAACAGAAAGCUGUAACAGCU